rnacentral:tRNA from 1 species
GCCCCUGUAGCUCAGUGGAUAGAGCAACGGUUUCCUAAACCGCAGGUCGUACGUUCGAUUCGUAUCGGGGGCG